UACGUAGGGUGCAAGCGUUAAUCGGAAUUACUGGGCGUAAAGCGUGCGCAGGCGGUUGUGCAAGACCGAUGUGAAAUCCCCGGGCUUAACCUGGGAAUGGCAUUUGGGACUGCAAGGCUCGAGUGCGGCAGAGGAGACUGGAAUUCCUGGUGUAGCAGUGAAAUGCGUAGAUAUCAGGAGGAACACCGAUGGCGAAGGCAGGUCUCUGGGCCGAUACUGACGCUGAGGAGCGAAAGCGUGGGGAGCGAACAGG
rnacentral:rRNA from 1 species